CCACAGUUGUCCAACUCCAAAAGCAAUGGCAAAAAGAAGAAAAAAUCAAGCCUCGCCCUUGUAUUGCCACAGCAGACUGCAGUGGCGCUAGUCGCAGUCUAAUCCAUCGAUUCUCAACAGGUUUAAUUGAAUUCGCCGUGUUAUUUUGGUAGCUUUUCCCUUGUUUACAUGCAUAACAGGAAAUGUAUCACUUUUCCGGAGAUAUGCGCAAGCUUAUCAGUAAACAAUUAUCAGCUUCGAAUAAUAAUCGGCUUUAAUCGCACUAACUCUCAUGACUUCUCGCUUUUUUUUAAGAUUGCAUAAAAUUUCAAAUUUUUUAAAAUGCAUACGUCUUUACUGUUUAACGUAUGUUUCAGCUGCAUUGGACGUCACGUGUCAAAGGAAAACAAUAAAUUCAUCAACAAGAUAAACACGAAAAAGUAUUUCAUUGACGGUUCAGCAGUUUUUGAUGCUGACAAUAAUUAACUUUUGAACUUCACAUACAAAUGUUAUCAAAUAGUUUAGUAUUUCAUGCAUUCCACGGAAUGAUUAGUUUCCUACUUUUCCUUGUGGUUUGGAUGCCAUUUGGUAUCGAUGAUGAGUCAUAAUGUGUUGUACUUUGAAAAACUAUGGAUAGAUGGCGAAAGGUUCCGGUACUCAUAUAAAGUGCGGUAGUAUAUGAAUAUGAAUGAAAGGUAAAUUAUAGCUGUAACAGCCAUGGUAUGGUUAAGUUAUCGCUUGUAUUUAUUUAGAAAGAAAAACAAACGAAAAAAAAAAAAUUUAAAGUUCUUAAAAAAAAAAUUCCAAUCAUACAAUAAACUUAAAGUACACAACAUUUUUAAGGACUUUAUUGAAUUUUUUGUUUCGAAUCAGUAACAGUGGAAUUAAUUGAAAUUGAUCGAAUUCGAGGGAAAUGGUUGGCUGAUUAACUUGACCUUAAUUUAUUUUCCAAUUACCAAGGGACAAGUGUGAAAUACUAAGAGAUUGCUAAACGGUAGCGACUGCGUGUUCCGUCAAAAGUAUUUUAAGGAUUUAGGAAGAUAAAGCAUUUGAUAGCAAAUUUGGACAAUAAGUCUACAGAAGACAGGUUUAUAAAAUCCAUUGAUCCAUGACUGUAUCCUGUAUCUGUUUGCAAUACUCCGAUGACGUAACGGAGCCGGUUUGUAACAUCGUAGGCGUAGAGAGAGAGAGCUACCAACUGGGUCCAUUUCCGAUUUUGUAGGUUCAUCCGAUUAAAAAAGGUUGAGCAGUAUGUUUGAUCAGAUUGUGUUGUUCAAGUUGAACUUAAUAAAUAAAUGCAUCAUAAGAAGAAUUUCAUUUCGAGAUACAUCAUGGAAUCUCAUGGUUUUGACUAAAAAAUAAAAACCAAGACCAUUUAGUUACUUCAACUGAAAAAAGAGCUUUUUCUGUGCAAAGUUCAAUGCAGCUUACAAUAAUCUAUCCAGAAAAUAAAAAUUAUAAUAUCAAUUGAAAUUUAUAUUGUUUUCUGGGUUUUGCUUUAAGGCUUAAGCUCGAAAAGGCUUUGAGAACACCAAUAUUAUUGUUGACGUUAGCACAAAUAUUACAUCGGGGAAUAAAUAAAAAUCACAUUUUCUCGGAGUCUGAAAAAGAUUCUCGAAUAAAAAAAAGAAAUCCUACACGAUUUCAUUUCAAAAGGAACAAAAAUAGGCUUAUGAGCACAUCAAUACAUCAUUCUUCAUUCAUUUCACCAUGAUUUCACAAUUCACCCCAGGCAAAGGAAUUUAUCAAAAUGUCAUUUUGCAGAUGACUCAUGUGUUCAUUUUCAUCUACUUGAACUGUCAACUCCUAGUCUGCAAACUGCAAAUACCAAAUAGUGUUGAAUUCACAGAAUUCUGCAUAAAAUUAAAUAUGGAAAAUUCAGUUAAAAACAUAUCCAAGAAUCUCAAAAACACUGAAGAACUUUCAAACUUAGUUAGCAAAAGCCUUGCUAAAGUUAUUCGUUUCUCAACUAAUGAAGAAAUGAAACUUUCUUGUCUCAAGUUGCUUAAUGUUAACAAUUCCUCUGAGGCUGAGAAAGUUAUUCAACAGCAACUUAUUGAAUGGAAGAAACAACCCAUUGGAGAGAGCAAUAUUGAGUCUCAAUUACCAGCUCAAAAGCGCAAAUUGGAUAGCGAGUUGAAUAAAAUUAUAGCCAACGACUUGGAAAACUGGGAAUAACAAACUAGUAUUGUGACUGAGAAAUACAGUUGAUGAAAAAACAUAUAAUUUCAAAUUAUUCUUCCUUUUUUUCUUGUUCAAGUAAAGCUGAUUGGAUUCCAA